rnacentral:rRNA from 1 species
GAUGAACGCUGGCGGCGUGCCUAACACAUGCAAGUAGAACGCUGAAGGAAGGAGUUUGCCCUGUCCGGGAGAGGCGCGAAGGGGUGUGUAACGUGUGGGUAACUCCCCUGGUAGCGGGGGACAACUAGUGGAAACGAUAGCUAACACCGCAUAACAGCAGAUGUUGCAGGAUAUCUACUUAAAAGGUGCAAUUGCAGCACUACCAGAUGGACUUGCGUUGUAUUAGCUUGUUGGUGAGGUAACGGCUCACCAAGGCGACGGUACAUAGCCGACCUGAGAGGGUGAUCGGCCCCACUGGGACUGGGACACGGCCCAGGCUCCUUCAGGGAGCAGCCAUAGGGGAACUUCGGCCAUGGGGGGAAAUCUGACCGAACAACGCCGGGGGGGUGAAGAAGGUUUUCGGGUCGUAAAACUCUGUUGUAAGGGAAGGACGAGUGUGGGAGUGGAACGUUCACGGUGUGACGGUAUCUGACCAGAAAGCAACGGCUAACUACGUG